AUCCCCCGAGCUGCCUCCUGGAUCUGGCUCCGGAUCUGGAUGCGGGCAUCCUUUGGAUUUUGCGCUUAACAACACGGACCCCCACUGCAAAGAAAACUUAAUCGGGACAACAAUGGUGGCUGAAUACGCGGCUGCUGGUCGUGUAGGGGACCGGGGAGUGCGCUCGGUGUGACAUUCACUUGCACGCUGGUGUGGAGUUUUUAUUGUUCUGGUCCCGUAGACGCAGAGGCACAGCGGCGAAUCUGUGGAGAAGAUGUUGAGCCGAUUCAUGAGUGGCAGCCUCAGGAAUCUGGAGCGGGAAUACAGCUGCACUGUCAGGCUGCUGGACGAUACGGAAUAUACGUGCACCAUUCAGCAGGAUGCCAAAGGACAGUCU